AACUCAUCUCACUCUCUUUUUUUUUUUCUCUUACAGACCACAAACACUAGCUCUCCCCCUCUUCAUCAAUAAUGGUGAAACAGAAGAAUCAACAAUAGAAAUUGAACCUUUUGCUUCAUCUCCUCCACAAAACCAGCUGCAAUAGUUUCGCAUUCAAAACGAAAAAACCCAUCUUCUGAACUCUGUUCAUCAUCGUUUAAUAAACUCUUUACUUCAUCUUCUCAUGGUCUCUCAUCUCUCUAAAAACCCAAACUUGUCCAAUUUCAAACCCCCAAUAAUCGUUUAAUUCCAGAUCUAUUCAAGGUCGUCAAUUCAUCAAGAACACAAAAGGAACACCCUAACUGGUGUUGGAUUUCAUAGUGUUAUGGGUAAUUCUCAGUAUUACAUCUACCAAUAGCUAAUUGCAGGGGGUUUGGAAUGGGAUGCUGGUUUCUACAUUGGAUAUGUUAACAAGGGAGGAGACCCCAGCUUAUUAUCUGUGGAAGAUCUAUUGGAGAGGAGUGAUAUGACUUAGUUUAAAUAUCCUUCACAUUCAGUUCUGGUAAAGGGUAUGUUCUAACUUGGUCUUUGGGUUCUUGGAAAUUCUGAUUGAAUAUAAUGUUUCCACUGAUCUCAAUCUUAUAUUAUAGGUUAGUAUUGUAGGAUUUACUAGUUCGUAUCUCAAAUGUAUUGAUCUCUUUUGUAUUAUAUGAGGACAUUGUGGAGGAUUUGGUAUUGGUGGGUAGCUUUUGAGGGAGGAGGAUCAUCUUAUAAGAGUGUUUUUUUGGUGUCUAUGGUGGGAGGUUUUGUUGUUGGUGUUGCAGGCGGUGGUGGACUAGGAGAGGAUGGUGGUGGAGGUAGAGGUGGUGGUGAUGGGCAUGAAUAGAUAUUGUAUAUUCUUGUACAUCAAAGCCUGUUUUAAGAUAGGAUAUUCUGAAGAUAUGGUGUUCACAAGCCUAAGGUGCACGUGGAUACUGAGAAUAGGGAGAAUGUUAAAGAUCAUGAGUCAUUGCUGCCCUGGUUUACCACUAUAAGUUUUAUGCUCGCGAGGUGUUUGAUAGAAAUCCUGAAAGAAGAGAAAAUGGGUCCAAGCAACUGUCCAGGAAACGCUGUAUAAACACGAGACAACUGAAUCACUUGAAACAAAAUAGAUGGUGUACAUGGAGAGCUAAAUCACUUGUAAGAUUUUCUGUUAUGGAAUUAAAAUAGGUCCAAGCAACUGUCCAGGAAACGCUGAAUAAACACGAGACAACUGAAUCACUUGAAACAAAAUAGAUGGUGUACGUCGGAGAGCUAAAUCACUUGCAACUAAAUGUUGGGAUAGGAAUCGGAUAAUUCUUGGCUGAAUACUUGACUUUUUCUUCUUUUUAUUUUCUCUGUGUACAUGGAGAUCUAGCUGAACACAUGGUCACCUCUUCAGGUUAUCAGAAACAAGCUAAAACCAAGGAUCACAGUUGUUGUUCAGAUCAGUUAGGAAGAUUGUUAACCUGGAUAAGGAAGAUACACAUGUUUUGAUAAACAAGGCAUGUAUAUUGGUUUCAGUUUAUUUCAUUGUUUGUAGGUUGGUUUCAACCUAUUGUAAGAUAAUACAUCUCUAAGAAUGGUGUGAAUUCAGUAGUUGUGUAGUUUUUUUUUGGGUUUUGACCUAAGUCAUACCUAGCUCAGUUCACAUGUGAAUUCGGUUAAUAUUAUAUAACAAAUUUCAACUUCGAAUUGAAUGGUGAAUGUUUGAUCAGUUUAUGCAA